UACGUAGGUGGCAAGCGUUGUCCGGAUUUAUUGGGUUUAAAGGGUGCGUAGGCGGCUUUUUAAGUCAGUGGUGAAAGCCGAUCGCUUAACGAUCGAACUGCCAUUGAUACUGAGAGGCUUGAGUAUAGAUGAGGUAGGCGGAAUUGACAGUGUAGCGGUGAAAUGCAUAGAUAUUGUCAAGAACACCAAUUGCGAAGGCAGCUUACUAAGUUAUAACUGACGCUGAGGCACGAAAGUGUGGGGAUCAAACAGG
rnacentral:rRNA from 1 species